rnacentral:misc_RNA from 1 species
GUGAAUCAUCAAAUCUUUGAACGCAAAUUGCACUUUCUGGUAUUCCGGAAAGUAUGCCUGUUUGAGGGUCAGUUAAAUCAUCAUCGGUUUUGUUGCGUCUUUUCUCGGUGACGCUUCUUCUUUGAGUUUUCUUUUCUUCGGUUAAGUGACUUACAAUUUUGCUUGAUUUUCCAACGUAUUUCUAUUUCUUUCGUUCGUUUGAGAUAUCGAAUACUUUAUUAGGUUCGUUCAUCCUCAUCUUUCGCACUU